UGUCCUGCAGGGAAAACGAAGUAUUAUUCUUAUUUUAUGGCAAAAUGGAGGCACAGAGGAUCAAACAAAAGAGUUGCCAGUAACACAUCCCACAGCCUGGCAAACAUGGACUGGUCUCUUCCCAAGAGGACAUUCAGCCUCAACAGGUCCUGGCUGGGAAGCAGCACGGGGGUGACCCUACAGGUGCUCCUUCAUCCCCCUGGGGACAAUCAAAGGACCUGGGGGUGCUCAGGGCUCUGCUCUCAUGCACAGACCUCGUUCUUCCUCUCCACAUUGUGUCAAUGAAUAAUGCAUGAAUACAUACUCAUCAAAAUUCUAGAUACUAUAUUUAUACGAAUACAUCAGGGCCAAAUUCUGCAUUAGUAUCACUUCACUGACGUAAAAAGGAUUGCGUUGGUAAAAAUGUUGGCCUUAAAUAUUUUUACCCAAAAUAGAUGUUUGGCAAACCUUGCUUUACUGCUUUUUCUCAAUUAAAACCCUCUUUGUUUCCUGAGUAGGUGAAGUUUAGUGUGAUUUAGCAAUGCAAAGGACAUGAAAUUUAGAUACAGCUAAAAUCCAAGCCCUCGAGGCCGGGCUUUAAUGGAAUUUGAAUUGUUGGCUGUACAUGGAAAAAAUUUCCUUGUAACAUUUAUUACAUGAAAACAACCAAAAGUUGCAAUCUUAAUUUUAUCAUUACUAUAAUCUACCUAGGCACUGGGACAUGUUAGAGGUUUCUCUAACUUGCAUUCUUCCACCUGCAAAAGGCAAUGUCUUCAUAUUUUAGUCACAGUAGUUCUGAACUUUGUGUAAAUUGCUAGAGAUGCAGUGAAGUCCCAUAUUUACCUUAUGUGGAAAUAAAGGUGUUUUCCCCGUU